CCUACGGGUGGCUGCAGUGGGGAAUAUUGCACAAUGGGGGAAACCCUGAUGCAGCGACGCCGCGUGAGUGAAGAAGUAUUUCGGUAUGUAAAGCUCUAUCAGCAGGGAAGAAGCAAGACGGUACCUGACUAAGAAGCCCCGGCUAACUACGUGCCAGCAGCCGCGGUAAUACGUAGGGGGCAAGCGUUAUCCGGAUUUACUGGGUGUAAAGGGAGCGUAGACGGUAUGGCAAGUCUGAAGUGAAAGUCCAGGGCUUAACCCUGGGACUGCUUUGGAAACUGUUAGACUAGAGUGCUGGAGAGGUAAGUGGAAUUCCUAGUGUAGCGGUGAAAUGCGUAGAUAUUAGGAGGAACACCAGUGGCGAAGGCGGCUUACUGGACAGUAACUGACGUUGAGGCUCGAAAGCGUGGGGAGCAAACAGGAUUAGAUACCCUGGUAGUC
rnacentral:rRNA from 1 species